UAUCCUAGAUUGCUUUCAAGGUCAUUUCUUUAGGGAACCCCAUUCCCAUAAAUUCAGUAUCCAAAGCUGGUUGUUGUAUCUAUGGGAAAGGGUUCCCUAACGAAAUGAUCUUGGACGCAAUCUAGGAGUU
rnacentral:pre_miRNA from 1 species